UAAAGUUUCAAAAUAAUAAGGAAAUGUUAUUGUUGAAUUCAUAGCUAUUUUUCUUCUUAGUAGUACGGAAAAUAAUGUUACCCCUGUAAAUAGAUUACAUCUUCAAUUUGAUGAUCAAAUAAGUUCAGUACUUAGGAUUUUUCUUAGCAUUAAAUAACAGAAAUCUUUUUGUAGAAAGCAAACUAAGGUCCAGGAGAUUUGCUUGUGUCUUCUUACAGAGAACUGUUUGAUACAGGCAACCAGGACUGUAUGAGAGGCUGGAAAUGUAUCUAUCAGUACUACUUAUCUGUAGUAAAGACUUUUUUAAGCUCAUUUAUGAUUGCACAACCUAAAUAACCAUACAUGGCUGGGCCUGGGAAAGGCAGAAAGGCAGAUGGGAAAACAGACCUCCACAUAGAUUUGAAGAAGUGUUGUAAAAUAAAUGGAAAAUAUGGCCUCUCUCGCUGGAGGCUUUUGUGGGAUCCUCUGGGAGCUCAGCUUCUUAGGCUAGAAGUGCCAGGGAAUUACUUCACCAAAUUCCCCCUUCUACUGGGGCUGCUGAUAUUCUUCAUUAUUCCAUCAUCAUCUCAAACCUCUUGGGUAUAG
ensembl:lincRNA